GUUUGACCCAUCCACUGAUUUUUGGGGAUUUUUGAAGCAACAUUUUUUUUAAAAUGCUAGCAGAUCGAUGUCCAUGCCUCUCCCUCCCUCCCUCUUCCGCUCUGAUUGACUGAGAGGCAUGCCAACAUGGCUUCUCCUCUCAGAGGGGCUACAGCUUCAUCCGAAGACAUCAGAAACAAACGAAAAAAGCUCAGCCUGAGCUUGUGCCCAUUCAAUCAGCAAUUGCCCCUGAACCUGAUUUGCCAGAGGACCCUGGGUUUGAGCCUGACAUGCAGCCAGAGUUGGGGCCUGAGAUGCAACCAGCUUUGCCAGAGGACUCUGAGUUUGGGCCUGACAUGCAGCCAGAGUUUGGGCCUGAGUGCAACCAGCUUUGCCAGAGGACUCUGGGUUUGGGCCUGAGAUGCAGCCAGAAUCUGUUCCAAUGGAUUCUGGGACCAGAGACAGAAUGGUUGCAAGCAGGCAUUUUGAACCGCGUUCCUCUCUGCUGUCAAGACCAGUUCACCAGGUGUCAGAUGGACAUUUUAGUUUAGAGGAGGAUAAUGAGUUUGACAGGAGGGGAGUGAUAAAUCAUCGAAGGAAAGAAUGAGAAUGUUUAUGGAGAAGCAAAUGACUCCUUUUGAAGCACUCUAAUGAGUAGUUUUCUCAUGAAAGAAAGACCUGGUUCUUCUCUGCUAUAGUAAAGGUGGCAACAUUGCAAUUCAAGAGAGAUCUUUGCUCCGAGCUCCUGUAUAUUCUUGCAGCCAUGGAUUUUGCUUCAAGUUCCA
rnacentral:lncRNA from 11 species